GCAGCCGCGGUAAUUCCAGCUCCAAUAGCGUAUAUUAAAGUUGUUGCAGUUAAAAAGCUCGUAGUUGAAUUUCGGGGUCAGCAAGUUGGUCGUGCCACUGGUAUGCACUGGCUUUACUGAUUCCUCCUUCUUGUAGAACCGUAAUGCCAUUAAGUUGGUGUUGCGAGGAAACAGGACUGUUACUUUGAAAAAAUUAGAGUGUUUAAAGCAGGCUAACGCUUGAAUACAUUAGCAUGGAAUAAUGAAAUAGGACGACGAUCCUAUUUUGUUGGUUUCUAGGAUUGACGUAAUGAUUAAUAGGGAUAGUUGGG
rnacentral:rRNA from 1 species